UACGGGGGGUGCGAGCGUUGUCCGGAAUCACUGGGCGUAAAGGGCGCGUAGGUGGUUUGAUAAGGGUGUGGUGAAAGUCCGGAGCUCAACUCCGGAUCUGCCGUGCCGACUGUCAAACUCGAGGGCUGUAGAGGCAGACGGAAUUCCGGGUGUAGCGGUGGAAUGCGUAGAGAUCCGGAGGAAGACCGGUGGCGAAGGCGGUCUGCUGGGCAGUUACUGACGCUGAGGCACGAAGGCCAGGGGAGCAAACAGG
rnacentral:rRNA from 1 species